rnacentral:misc_RNA from 1 species
GAAUGGCGUAGUAAUCUCGUAAUGCGAUACAUCUUCCUGCCUUACCAUGAAAAAUCAUAAUAAUAGUAUUACCGCGUGGUAUAAAGUUCCAUUACAUUAGACAAUACUUCAUCAAUCGUGUGUAUCGAAUCAAGAGGGAAAACUACUCAGCGCAGUGCGCUAAGCAAGAUUUUCCAGCGGGUCAACUUUUAAGAUAGUGUCUUCAAGAAAGAGGUGUGACAAUGGGAAGUUGCUGCUGCACUGCACCACACCACCAACCUCCUGAACAUCGGAACAAGCCACUGGUACGAAUGUGUUCAUCAGGAAAUCACUUUCCCAACUUUGCUGAUAUUGGAGAUAAAAUUGUCCUUUUUGUUGAUUUUGGCAACAAUUUUAAGCCACUCCCUCGCAGAAAUCAGGUUCAUUCUUUAGGUGGGGCUACUGCAGGAUUGCAGUGGCCUGAUCAGCGUCACCAUGGUGAGGAGAAUACACAAUAUGAGAUAAAGUUUGCAGGACUCCAAGCUUUCUUGAAAAGGAUAAAACCAAAAGAGGAAAAUUGUACAAGUUACCGCUCAGAAGUAAAACUUUUAAUGACAGAUGACAUUCUAAGAGAGCCUGGUGGGUUGGUGAAAUUUACUAUACCAUACUGUGACAGUGAGGGUCAGUAUUUGGGCGUAGUUACUGAACAAGAUCAUGAAUAUGAUGCCAGUCACAGAGUCUACAAUCAUCCAAUAUGGGAUGAAUUAAUAGUACAUAACGGGGAAAUAAGAGAUGAUAUUCAGUGUCGUACAUCAACAAGACUGGUUGAAGGGACAUAUGGUUCCAUGGCACGACGUAGAGCCAGAGAAUCUGCAGUUAUAGAGGGACCAAUGGAUCAAGAAGAUGCUGGAGCUGAAACAAGUGGUAGUUCAGAGCAUUUAAGUGCAACACAUGAACUGGACCCUCUGCUAGGGCAACCACCACGUGCCAAACGUUACUGGCCAGAUUCCUGGGAGAUGUCUUGUUGGCGGCCUUGCUGUGAUCCAAUCCUGCGUUCAGAAAACUGGUUCACAAGAUUUUUGGCUAUGUUCUUUGUGGCACCAUUGACCAAUGUAACUGGUUUAAGUCUGUACUAUCAACUGUACCUUGUUGAAAUAUUUCACCUAAGAUUUAAAACAAAGCUUGGACACUAUUUAUUCAUGCCACUGAUUGUUAUGAUGAUGCUAUGUUUCUUCGCCCAGUGGAGAUUUGAUCGUGACUGCUACACAUUAGCCAACACUGAAGUGCUUGUUUGGAAUGGAGCUGCUGUCUUUGCUUUGUUUCUUCUCUUCUGGUAUUGUUUGUGGGGUCUUAUCCAAAGAACACCUUGUAUGGGGUUUUUCAUGAUUGUGCCUUUGGCUGUCAUGUACAUUCUUGCAAACAUCACUUUUCAAAUGGCUGUGAAGAAUUCUGCACUGCAGAGCUUGAACUGUGAAACUUGUUGGAAUCAUACAAAUCACCUGUCAAACCAUGUGAAAUACUAUAAUGCAUUCAAUCUGAUGCACUGGUACUUCAAUCCUGUCUUGUGGACAUUUGUUUUGUGCCUCUGUCAAGCAAUCAGUCAUAGCUUUGAACCCAAGAUUCCACCACGUGUUAAUCAGACCAACCACUGGAUGAGUUGUGAUAUAAUAUGUAAGACUUAUGGUUUUCCCAAGACAUUAUUGAUUUUCAUGGCACAAGCUAUCUUCGGAACCAUUGAUGAGCUUCUGGCAUCACCAAGGCUUCUUCCCCUAUUGAUCCUACGAGUUUGUUUCACUCUUGGAUAUAGUCCAAAGGAAUGGAAAGUAUUGAAGAUAUUGGUUAAAAAAUCAUUACAAUAUGGGGACCCAGCAUUGGAUUACAUUGGCACAGGUGGGGCUGAUUAUCUUCCCAAAGAUUCAGUGAUACCUGAAGUCUCACUAUCUACAACUGGUACAAGUGGUAAAGCUCUGGAGAACAAUUAUAACAUUGGUUACAACAUAAGAAAACUAAAGAAAACCUUACAAGAGAUGGAGUCCACGCUUACUGACAGACAACGCAAAAUACUAACUGACCCCCGCACAAUCCGUUACUGUGCUGAUGACUGGCUAAAACACUACAUCGUGUUGAGGCACUAUGUUGCAAAAUAUGAGCUACAAGUGCAUGCAUAUGGCCCAUUUCGAUCAGGCAAAGAAAACAAGGAAGCUUUUCAUGAUGAUGUACGAAUGGAGAGAGACUUUCCCCUUGCUAAGCACAGCAGCUUUAGAAAUUUCUUGCAACAGGUUCGUUUUCACCUCUGGUUGAUGGAAGAUGAGUUCAUAACUAAAAGAGCUAUAUCUGCUUGUUGUGCUAAGGAAAUUUAGUUGAUCAUUACAGAUUGAGUCUGAUCAUACUUUGGUAUGGUACAUGGACAGUGUUUUAGUUAGUUAAACCUUUUUAACUGAUGAAUAUAGAAUUUGCCAGACUCUUGGUGACGGCUUCAGCAAGUGAGUAGUCGCUAUUUACUGUUAAGUUAAGGAAGGUGCACAUUAACAUCAGGUUUUAAUCAGGUGUGAAAAAAUACAACUGCACAACAUUUUCAAAUA